GGUUUAGUGCUCGAAAGAGAACGGUAACACAGGUGCUGCAUGGCUGUCGUCAGCUCGUGUCGUGAGAUGUUGGGUUAAGUCCCGCAACGAGCGCAACCCUUGCCAUUAAUUGCCAUCAUUUAGUUGGGCACUUUAAUGGGACUGCCGGUGACAAACCGGAGGAAGGUGGGGAUGACGUCAAGUCCUCAUGGCCCUUAUGGCCAGGGCUUCACACGUAAUACAAUGGUCGGUACAGAGGGUUGCCAACCCGCGAGGGGGAGCCAAUCCCAGAAAGCCGAUCGUAGUCCGGAUUGUAGUCUGCAACUCGACUACAUGAAGUCGGAAUCGCUAGUAAUCGCGGAUCAGCAUGUCGCGGUGAAUACGUUCCCGGGCCUUGUACACACCGCCCGUCACACCAUGGGAGUGGGUUUUACCAGAAGUAGGUAGUCUAACCUUCGGGAGGACGCUUACCACGGUAGUAUUCAUGACUGGGGUGAAGUCGUAA
rnacentral:rRNA from 1 species